UUUCCGUAGGUGAACCUGCGGAAGGAUCAUUAUCGUAAAACCGAGGUGCGAGGGCUGUCGCUGACCUUUUCGGUCGUGCACGCCCGAGCGCUCUCACACAAUCCAUCUCACCCCAUGUGCACCACCGCGUGGGUCCCUUUCUGGCUCGUCCGGAGGGGGGCUCGCGUUUUCACACAAACUUGAAGUAGUGUAGAAUGUCCUUUUUUUGCGAUAACACGCAAUCAAUACAACUUUCAACAACGGAUCUCUUGGCUCUC
rnacentral:misc_RNA from 1 species